UAUUACUAUUACCAGGAUUAAAGGGGUUUAAGUCAGAAGCUCACCAUGAGGUGUAGCCAGUUGCUUCCCCAGAGACUGGCGUCAUAUUGUGAGUUUACAGGACUACAGGGGAUGAAGGGUUAGAAAGGAUGAUGAUCCAAGGACCCAGUGAGACAAACCGAGAGUGUGAGGUGGUUUACCAGAUGCCUGCUCUGGUGCCUUCCAACAGACACUGCCACAAGAAAGGUGAGGUGUUCCACGUAAACAACAGGUAAAUGCAACUCGUACCAUUUUUUAGAUCUUGGAUGAUUUUUUUUAAACCAGCAAGUAGUAUUUUGAGGCAGUUGAGGCAAUUUGAAUAUGAACCAAAUAUGAAAUAGUAUUAAGUUAUUGUGAAUAUUAUUAUUGGAAGUUGUAAUUGUAUCAGUUAUAUAGAAAAAUAUACUUACUCAUUUUUGGGGAG
ensembl:lncRNA